rnacentral:rRNA from 1 species
UGGGGAAUUUUGGACAAUGGGCGAAAGCCUGAUCCAGCAAUGCCGCGUGUGUGAAGAAGGCCUUCGGGUUGUAAAGCACUUUUGUCCGGAAAGAAAUCCUUGGCUCUAAUACAGUCGGGGGAUGACGGUACCGGAAGAAUAAGCACCGGCUAACUACGUGCCAGCGGCCGCGGUAAUACGUAGGGUGCAAGCGUUAAUCGGAAUUACUGGGCGUAAAGCGUGCGCAGGCGGUUUGCUAAGACCGAUGUGAAAUCCCCGGGCUCAACCUGGGAACUGCAUUGGUGACUGGCAGGCUAGAGUAUGGCAGAGGGGGGUAGAAUUCCACGUGUAGCAGUGAAAUGCGUAGAGAUGUGGAGGAAUACCGAUGGCGAAGGCAGCCCCCUGGGCCAAUACUGACGCUCAUGCACGAAAGCGUGGGGAGCAAACAGGAUUAGAUACCCUGGUAGUCCACGCCCUAAACGAUGUCAACUAGUUGUUGGGGAUUCAUUUCCUUAGUAACGUAGCUAACGCGUGAAGUUGACCGCCUGGGGAGUACGGUCGCAAGAUU